rnacentral:rRNA from 1 species
UACGAAGGGGGCUAGCGUUGCUCGGAAUCACUGGGCGUAAAGCGCACGUAGGCGGAUUCUUAAGUCAGGGGUGAAAUCCUGGAGCUCAACUCCAGAACUGCCUUUGAUACUGAGGGUCUUGAGUUCGGGAGAGGUGAGUGGAACUGCGGAGUGUAGAGGUGAAAUUCGUAGAUAUUCGCAAGAACACCAGUGGCGAAGGCGCUCACUGGCCCGAGUACUGACG